CACCUUCAUGGUUACACCUGGAGAGUUUCCAGUACUUUACCAGUCUUGACUAUGGGAGGGAGAGUCAAGCAGAGGCAUAUCCAUUCCAUUUCUAGCUUGGCCAGUGGCUAGUAUGUGGAAGGCAUUCUGCUACAAGU
rnacentral:snoRNA from 1 species